CCCUUAGAUGUUCUGGGCCGCACGCGUGCUACACCGAGUGGAUCAGCGGGUCAGGUUGCGCGAAAGUGUUUCCUAAUCUUGAAAUCCGCUCGUGAUGGGGAUUGACGGUUGCAAUUUUCCGUCAUGAACGAGGAAUACCUUGUAAGCGCGGGUCAUCAUCCCGCGCUGAAUACGUCCCUGCCCUUUGUACACACCGCCCGUCGCUCCUACCGAUUGAGUGGUCCGGUGAGGCUUUGGGAUCUGAGCGGAAAGAGCGUUUCGCUGUUUCUGCUCGGAAAACUCAGUCGAACCUUAUCAUUUAGAGGAAGGAGAAGUUGUAACA
rnacentral:rRNA from 1 species